UACGUAGGGUGCAGGCGUUAAUCGGAAUUACUGGGCGUAAAGCGCGUGUAGGCGGGUUGUUAAGUCCGCUGUGAAAGCCCGGUGCUCAACGCCGGAGGGUCGGUGGAUACUGGCAGUCUUGAAGUGGCUAGGGGGAAAUGGAAUUACCGGUGUAGCGGUGAAAUGCGUAGAUAUCGGUAGGAACACCAGUGGCGAAGGCGGUUUCCUGGAGCUAACUUGACGCUGAGACGCAAAAGCUGGGGGAGCAAACGGG
rnacentral:rRNA from 1 species